rnacentral:tRNA from 1 species
GGCUCUGUAGUUCAAUGGAUAGAAUAGUGGUUUCCUAAACCAUAGAUUCGGGUUCGAUUCCCGACGGAGCUA